GUAAAUCUUUGAACUCAACCAUUUCAAUCUUUAGUAGAGUAGUACACAUGUGUUGCAUGAGUGCAGAUGUGGUGGUGCGGUGUUGCACUCGGUGUUACACAAACAGCCAGAACAAUUAACAGUGAUAGAUAGUGCUGUUUAAUUUCCAGCAAAUUCACCAUGCUAUUUAAUUCCCAUGCCAGGAGGAUCUGCAGCAGGGGCGGCGCUAGGGGUAUUCUUGAUCUGCAUGUGAAUACCCAUGAUUUUCAACACAGUGUUGAUUUGGCAAAAGAGUGACAAUUUUCGAAAAAUAGCAAUGAUUUUGGUAAAAUGAAUACACAUAAAUACCCCGUGCAAAUUCCUGGAGCCGUCACUGAUCUGCAGGGCUGCAAAUUCCUGGAGCCGCCACUGAUCUGCAGGGCAUGAGACUUCAUCAUUAACCUUAAGUGGGUGUAGGUUUUUCUUUGCAAAUACUUAAGGGUUUAGUUGUUGCCACGUGGACACUGGCCACUCUUUCUAUUUUCACACGUUUUUUUCCUGACAACCUUCCUAUUUUCACAUUCAGUUACACUGCCCUUGAUUUUUUUGCAGGCGGUCAGUUACACUACCCUACAAAUGUGAGUAAUUAGUUAUGCUACCCUACAAAAGUGGGUAAUCAGUUACCCUACCCUAAAAAGUGAGAUGUUUAACCUCGAAGCAAGAGAGAAAUCCAUGUGCUACCGCAAGUAUAUAAUAAGCCGCCUCCCUCCUCUAUACCCAUCUUUCAUACAAUCCAUCUUGAAGGUCUUAAACUGUCAUACAAUCCUCUGAGUCUUUCAUAAGAAAUCUAUGGAUCUGUCCAUGUAGGUUGUUGUGGUCGUUCUCCUGCUUCUUGUGACCACAUGCAUCUAUAGAGGAGGGAUUUAACGAUGCAGGGUUACUUACCGGUGGGGUGGGAUAUAGAGUGUGAGUUGUCGUACCACCAGUCCAACGUAAUUCCUCAACUCAACAUCCUCAAGAAUCAAUCAAGUAUUCCUCAACUCGGCAACCUCAAGUAUCAAUUGCGACCCCCUUUCUUCAAACUAUCUUGCAUACACCAGCUCAUCAAAUGCAUCAACCAUCCUCAAUUUGAAAACUAGAAAUAAGAGGAGGUCUAAAGGUUGGGGAGGAAGUGGACUGAGGAGCGAUUGGAUUGCAACACAAAUGGAACAUUGAGGUCAAGGAUGAGAGUCUCUAGGGCAUGGAGAGGCAACAUGGGAGGAAAACAUGCCAAUGGGGCAGAGAGGGUUCUUUUGUAAAGAGGCGUGAGUGUGCAAUAGUUCACGGGGGCUUCAUGAGGGAUUCCGUCUGAUGGCUGCAGAUACAUAACACACAGAUUCAAUGGACGAUUGCGUUAAAUUGUCUAAUUAGCACGGGGAUUUUGGCUGAGAAUCAUACAGGCUGUUGAACAUGUCUACAUGUACGUAGGUCCGGGUCCUAUAUGCAGUACCUGUAGUAUCUGUCUCACUCUGUAUGUACGUAUAUCUUAGGAGACAAGAUACCGGUUGCACCCCUUGUACCUAUAUAUAUGUGCCUAGUGCACGAUCAAUCAAUUAUCGAUGCACCAAAUCAUUCUCUACAUGGUAUCU
rnacentral:lncRNA from 1 species